UUUCAAAAUAAAUAUAAUUAUUUAUUUAAAUAUGUUCAUAUGAAAUAGGCUUUUAAACAGGCUAACAGGUCACAUCAGACUUUCAAAAGGCCAGGCUCAGGCCUAGAAUUUAAGCCUAUGAUAGGCCACAGGCCAGGCUCAGACCUUCGAUUUUUUGACAGACCAGACUCAGGCUUGGCAAAGCCUAGCUCGGCCUAGCCUAUUCCCACCUCUAAA
rnacentral:lncRNA from 1 species